rnacentral:rRNA from 1 species
GAUGAACGCUAGCUACAGGCUUAACACAUGCAAGUCGAGGGACCGGCGCACGGGUGAGUAACACGUAUCCAACCUGCCCUUUACUCGGGGAUAGCCUUUCGAAAGAAAGAUUAAUACCCGAUAUAAAGGAUGGGGAUGCGUUCCAUUAGGUUGUUUGUGAGGUAACGGCUCACCAAGUCUUCGAUGGCUAGGGGUUCUGAGAGGAAGGUCCCCCACAUGGGAACUGAGACACAGUCCAAACGCCUACGGGAGGCAGCAGUGACUAAGAUUGGUGAAUGGGCGCUAGCCUGAACCAGCCAAUUAGCGGAAAGGAUGAAGGCUUAUGGGUCUUAAACUUCUUUUAUAUAAGAAUAGGUAUUAUAUGAGUAAGGAUCGGCUAACUCCGUGCCAGCAGCCGCGGUAAUAC